UUCCCGCGCAAUGCUACAUUUUUUUUGCUCCCUUUGUCAUGGGCAGGUGGGCUGAUGUCGGCUGGGUAUGAUAUUUGCUGCUGAACAGUUUUCAUAUCACUCUGUACAGAAUAAAUACGCCAUCAGUAGGCUGACCUGGAA